UACGUAGGGUGCAAGCGUUGUCCGGAAUUAUUGGGCGUAAAGAGCUCGUAGGCGGUCUGUCGCGUCUGCUGUGAAAACUCAGGGCUUAACCCUGAGCUUGCAGUGGGUACGGGCAGACUAGAGUGCGGUAGGGGAGACUGGAAUUCCUGGUGUAGCGGUGAAAUGCGCAGAUAUCAGGAGGAACACCGGUGGGCCGAAGGCGGGUCUCUGGGCCGUAACUGACGCUGGAG
rnacentral:rRNA from 1 species